UGUAGAGUACGAGUUUAGUGGCAGACGGGUGAGUAACACGUAGGAAUCUACCCAGUAGUGGGGAAUAGCUGGCCGAAAGGCCAAUUAAUACCGCAUACACUCGCAAGAGGAAAGUCGCAAGACGCUAUUGGAGGAGCCUGCGUCCUAUCAGGUAGUUGGUGGGGUAAUAGCCUACCAAGCCUAUGACGGGUAGCCGAUGUGAGAGCAUGAUCGGCCACAAGGUAACUGAGACACGGUGCCUACACCUACGGGUGGCAGCAACUGGGAAUUUUGCGCAAUGGACGAAAGUCUGACGCAGCGACACCGCGUGUAGGAAGAAGGCCUUCGGGUUGUAAACUACUGUGGCAGGGGAACAAAUAAAUGAGGGUACCCUGCUAGAAAGCACCUGCUAACUACGUGCCAGAAGCCUCGGUAAUACGUAGGGUGCAAGCGUUAUCCGGAUUUACUGGGCGUAAAGCGUUUCGUCGGCGGACAAAUAAGUGAAUGGUUCAAGCCUGGGGCUCAACCCCAGAAAGGCUGUUCAUACUGUUUGUCUUGAGAAUGUUAGAGGGAGUUGGAAUUCUCGGUGGAGGGGUGAAAUCCGUAGAUAUCGAGAAGAACGCCAAGGGUGAAGACAGACUCCUGGGACAUUUCUGACGCUCAGGAACGACAGCUCGGGUAGCAAAAGGGAAUAGAGACCCCUGUAGUCCGAGCCGUAAACUAUGGAUGCUAGUUGUCCUCCUUAUUUUGAGGGGGGUGACGCAAGCUAACGCGUUAAGCAUCCCGCCUGGGGAGUACGGCCGCAAGGCUAAAACUCAAAGGAAUUGACGGGGGAGCGCACAACCGGUGGAGCAUGUGAUUUAAUUCGAUACGAAACGAAAGACCUUACCCAGGUUUGACAUGUAUCUGCACGCUCUGGGAAACCAGAGCUUCUUCGAGAGUGAUACACAGGUGCUGCAUGGCUGUCGUCAGCUCGUGUCGUGAGACGUCCGCUUAAGUGCGGUAACGAGCGCAACCCUUAUCUUGUGUUGCAUUUCACAAGAGACUGCCCUGCUGCAAGCAGGGAGGAAGGAGAGGAUGACGUCAAGUCAGCACGGCCCUUACGCCUGGGGCCAUACACAUCCUACAAUGGAGCCGACAACGGGUCGCGAAGGGGUAACCCCGAGCCAAUCCUUAUAAACGGCUCCUCAGUUCAGAUUGAGGGCUGCAACCCGCCCUCAUGAAGUCGGAAUCGGUAGUAAUCGCGGGUCAGCAUACCGCGGUGAAUACGUUCUCGCUCCUUGUACACACUGCCCGUCAAGCCAGCAAAGUUGGCAGCGCCCGAAGCAGGAGACCUUAACCGCAAGGAAAGGCCCUACUACGGUGAGGUCAGCGAUGAGGACUAAGUCGUAACAAGGUA
rnacentral:rRNA from 1 species